GAUCUUGGUUCAGGAUGAACGCUAGCUACAGGCUUAACACAUGCAAGUCGAGGGGCAGCAUUGGAGUAGCAAUACUCAGAUGGCGACCGGCGCACGGGUGAGUAACACGUAUCCAACCUGCCGCUUACUCGGGGAUAGCCUUUCGAAAGAAAGAUUAAUACCCGAUGGUAUAAAGAGUUCGCAUGUUCUCUUUAUUAAAGAAUUUCGGUAAGCGAUGGGGAUGCGUUCCAUUAGAUAGUUGGCGGGGUAACGGCCCACCAAGUCUACGAUGGAUAGGGGUUCUGAGAGGAAGGUCCCCCACAUUGGAACUGAGACACGGUCCAAACUCCUACGGGAGGCAGCAGUGAGGAAUAUUGGUCAAUGGACGAGAGUCUGAACCAGCCAAAAGUAGCGUGAAGGAUGACUGCCCUAUGGGUUGUAAACUUCUUUUAUAAGGGAAUAAAGUGAGGGACGUGUCCCUUUUUGUAUGUACCUUAUGAAUAAGGAUCGGCUAACUCCGUGCCAGCCGCGGC
rnacentral:rRNA from 1 species